GAAACGCGCUCCUUCCACCUCUACCAGGAAGUCAGUCUCUGCCGAUAAUGGUGGUACUAGUAAUGGCAAUGUUCCAAAACCGGGUUCUCCUCCUCAGUUGCCAUCUGCUGCUGCUGGGGAAAGGACGGUGAAGAAGCUGAGGUUGUCGAAAGCGCUUACGAUUCCUGAGGGGACAACGGUUUCUGAAGCGUGUAGAAGGAUGGCUGCUCGUCGUGUUGAUGCUGUGCUGCUGACGGAUGCGAAUGCUUUACUUUCGGGUAUUCUCACCGACAAGGAUGUCGCUACCAGGGUUAUAGCGGAGGGGCUGAGGCCAGAGCAGACGGUUGUAUCGAAAAUUAUGACACGGAAUCCCAUAUUUGUUACUUCAGAUUCACUUGCUAUUGAAGCCCUUCAGAAAAUGGUUCAGGGAAAAUUUAGGCAUCUUCCUGUCGUUGAAAAUGGCGAAGUUAUUGCUUUGUUGGAUAUUACAAAGUGCCUCUAUGAUGCCAUAUCAAGAAUGGAGAAGGCUGCAGAACAGGGUAGUGCCAUUGCUGCUGCUGUUGAA
rnacentral:misc_RNA from 1 species